rnacentral:rRNA from 1 species
GACGAACGCUGGCGGCGUGCUUAACACAUGCAAGUCGAACGGAAAGGCCCUGCUUUUGUGGGGUGCUCGAGUGGCGAACGGGUGAGUAACACGUGAGUAACCUGCCCUUGGCUUUGGGAUAACUUCAGGAAACUGGGGCUAAUACCGGAUAGGAGCUCCUGCUGCAUGGUGGGGGUUGGAACGUUUCGGCGGUUGGGGAUGGACUCGCGGCUUAUCAGCUUGUUGGUGGGGUAGUGGCUUACCAAGGCUUUGACGGGUAGCCGGCCUGAGAGGGUGAACGGCCACAUGGCGACUGAGAUACGGCCCAGACUCCUACGGGAGGCAGAAGUGGGGAAUAUUGCACAAUGGGCGGAAGCGUGAUGCAGCAACGCCGCGUGCGGGAUGACGGCCUUCGGGUGGGAAACCGCUUUCGCCUGUGACGAAGCGUGAGUGACGGUAAUGGGUAAAGAAGCACCGGCUAACUACGUG